GGGAUAAUUGAUCCAACCAAGGUGAGUUAAUCUACUGGUUUUGGAGAAGCAGCUAGUAGUGUUUUUCAAUUACAGUGGUAUCUUUUGCGUUCUAUUCAUCACAAUACCUGGCGAAAUGUUGUUUAAGAAGCUGAUGGAUUAGGUGCAUGGAGCUGCUUAGGCUUCUAUUUCUAGUUAUAAUUUUCCACUUUACCUGAUUCAUUAUUCAAAGCAGCAUUAGUUGUCCACAUUCUUAAAUUUCGAUCAGGUGGUUAGAUGUUGCCUAGAGCAUGCAUCAUCAGUUGCAAAGACUUUCUUGAUGUCCGAUUGUGUAGUUGUGGAGAUCAAGGAGCCUGAACCAGUGCCUGCUGGCAAUCCCAUGGACAAUUCAGGUUUGUACUUGCAGGAUUAUUUCUUCUGCCGUUCUGUUCAUCACCUACUUGGUUACUGAAAUUUUGUCAUUUACACAUUUGUUGGAACAGGAUAUGGUUACUAAGUUCAUUGAGCAGCAUGGGGAGAGGAGCAAAAUAAAGAUCAGAAUCCCCAUAGCGAUUAGUUAGUUUGUUGGCAAUGAAUGAAUUUUUUUUGUAAAUUAAUCACACCUCUAGCGGAUAGGAAUUAUGGAUUCUGGUGAGGAUAGCUUACUGGAGAGCGGAACGUGUCUUGCAAUUAAUUUCACAAUUGCAAUUUUGAACCGUUUAUGAGUUGAAGCUCAAUUUGUGCUGAUGCUUUUGAUCUUCUAUCAAAUAAUGCGCUUCUGCUGGAUAAACCCACCAAAUUAACGUGAUUGCACGUGUCUGAUGAUACUGUCACCACUAGGCUUCGGUGGAUUCAAGUUAGGAGCCAUCGAAGCUGCAUUGUUCUGUUUUCCUGGGAGGUCUGCGUGACUCCGAUGAUGCAGCGCAUGAAAAAAUAGAGACGGAACGGAGUAACACGAGAAAGGGUUUUUAUCAG
rnacentral:misc_RNA from 1 species